rnacentral:rRNA from 1 species
AUUGAACGCUGGCGGCAGGCUUAACACAUGCAAGUCGAGCGAGCGGCGGACGGGUGAGUAAUGUCUGGGAAACUGCCUGAUGGAGGGGGAUAACUACUGGAAACGGUAGCUAAUACCGCAUACCAUCAGAUGUGCCCAGAUGGGAUUAGCUAGUAGGUGGGGUAAUGGCUCACCUAGGCGACGAUCCCUAGCUGGUCUGAGAGGAUGACCAGCCACACUGGAACGGAGAAACGGGCCAGACUCCUACGGGAGGGAGGAGUGGGGAAAAUUGCACAAAGGGCGCAAGCCCGGAGGAGGCAAGGCGGGGGUGGGAAGAAGGCCUUUGGGUUGGAAAACAAUUUCAGCGGGGAGGCGUUACUCGCAGAAGAAGCACCGGCUAACUCCGUGCCAGCAGCCGCGGUAAUAC